rnacentral:rRNA from 1 species
CCCAAACCCCUGAUGAACAUACCUUAUGUUGCCUCGGCGGAUCAGCCCGCGCCCCGUAAAAAGGGACGGCCCGCCGCAGGAACCCUAAACUCUGUUUUUAGUGGAACUUCUGAGUAUAAAAAACAAAUAAAUCAAAACUUUCAACAACGGAUCUCUUGGUUCUGGCAUCGAUGAAGAACGCAGCAAAAUGCGAUAAGUAAUGUGAAUUGCAGAAUUCAGUGAAUCAUCGAAUCUUUGAACGCACAUUGCGCCCGCCAGUAUUCUGGCGGGCAUGCCUGUUCGAGCGUCAUUUCAACCCUCAAGCCCAGCUUGGUGUUGGGAGCUGCAGUCCUGCUGCACUCCCCAAAUACAUUGGCGGUCACGUCGAGCUUCCAUAGCGUAGUAAUUUACACAUCGUUACUGGUAAUCGUCGCGGCCACGCCGUUAAACCCCAACUUCUGAAUGUUGACCUCGGAUCAGGUAGGAAUACCCGCUGAACUUAAGCAUAUCAAA